CGGGGCGUAGCGCAGCCCGGUUAGCGCGCCUGCUUUGGGAGCAGGAGGCCGUGGGUUCAAAUCCCACCGCCCCGACCA
rnacentral:tRNA from 1 species